GUGGAAGGGUGCGGUAGAAAGCAAGGAAUGAUUUCUGGCGUGAAUUGAUGUGUAUGAGAGGUGGUGAUCUGAUCUAGGGGUUUAUAUGAGUAUAUAUAGGCACUUAAAACCCUAGGUGAAUCAGAUAUGGACUUGUAUAAUUAAAACCCAUCAGGAAAAGGCUUAAAACAAUCAGAUUUUGAAUGGGAAAAGGCCUCCUAGGUGCGGCAGGUAAGGGAUAGGGUGGAUAAGGCUUCUAGAAAUCUGAUUUUAACCAUUCUAAUCUAAUUAGGAACCCCACUUUGCAGCUAAAAUAUCAAUGAAUUUAGAUUUGGAUAAGAUAGGAUAGGAUAAGGUUUGUUUGGAUAAGAUAAGCUAAGAUAAAGUUAUGGAUGAUGUUUUGGAUAAGAUUUCUUCACUUGAGCUGAUUUUUUGACUUUAAUUCUCCUUUGUCAAGUAGGAAACCUUGCUUGAGUAGGAAUCUUCAUCCUUCUAGGAAUCCAUCUUUGACUACGAAUCCAUUCUUAGCUAGGACUCCUCCGUUGAUUAGGAAUCCUUCUUCAAUUAGGAAUCCUUCGUUGAUUAGGAAUCCUUCUUCAACUAGGACUCCUCAAAUCUUCAAAUCUUCAUUCUCGUCCAUUCCCUUGGCUCCAAGUAUGUGACUUCCAUUCCAAGCUCUAUUUUGCUCCAAAAGGCUCCAAAUUACAUCAUUUUAUGUAAUAUGCCCUUAAAACCUGAAAACACAUGAAACUAGCUUAAAAGACUACUUUAAACUAAGAAAACAUAACAAACAUGCAUAAGAACUAGCUAACUAAGGCGCAUAAAUAUGCUUCUAUCAAGCCAAUCAGCUUGUUCAUCAGUGAUGAUACCUCUUAUGUAGUCAUUUCAUAAAUGGCUGAGCAGUAGGCCUAGACAAUGGAUAUCUAUAUGUUAUCUAUAGAAGCAACCUUGAGAAUAACGACGUCAGCAUUAUACAUGAUUCUCAAUCAUGUGGUUCAGUCUCUCAUUUGAGUUCGGACCUUGAUGAGACCUUGAUUCCCUGGCUUGAGCUAUCGCCCCAUUAGUGUCAUACACUUUCUGGUUGGAAUCGAAUAGAGAGUUCAUAAAUGAACUUUCCCAUCCAAACAACAUUGUUGUAAACUUCUAUAUGGCAAUAUAUUUUGCAUUCAUAAGGAACACACUAAAGUCAUUACUUUAAUGUUUCCAUCCAAAUAUCUCUUUAGUCAUAAUAAAGAGAUAUCU
rnacentral:lncRNA from 1 species